AACGCACCUUGCGCUCUCUGGUAUUCCGGAGAGCAUGCCUGUUUGAGUGUCAUGAACUCUUCAACCCACCGGUUCCUUGUUGAACCGAGUUGGUGUUUGGAUUUUGAGUGUUUGCUUUUCAUUAAGCUCAUUCGUAAUACAUUAGCAUCUCAAUUUCGUAAUCGGAUUGACUCAGCGUAAUAGACUAUUCGCUGAGGACACUUUUAUUAGUGGCCGAGAAUGAAAAAGUUAGAAGCUUCGAACCCUUCUAGUCAACUUUAGAUUAGACCUCAGAUCAGGCAGGAUUACCCGCUGAACUUAA
rnacentral:misc_RNA from 1 species